AUUCCAUGUAAGUUGUAUGGUUAUUUAGUUUAGAUCCGAUUUGUUUUUUUUUUUUUCUUUGGUUUUUAUGAAUGUCAAAUUUAUAGAAUGACUUUUGACGAACUUAAUAAAAACAAUCAGAUCUCUAACAAAAGUAAAAGAAAAGACCUAAAAAAAACGGUCACACAAAACCCUUCUUUAUUAAAAACUGAACACGGCCCCCACUAGAAACUGGUGGUUAUCCGGAUCGGUAGGUACCAUUAGCCCCGCCAAUAGUUAUACUAUCGAGUUGUUACUUACUACUAGUCGGUUGAUUAUUCGCACUGGCCAUUACGAAGAGACGGAGGACGAAUUGUGCAUGACUACGCCAACCGGAACAUUUCCAAAGUCAUCUAUGUUCAUGAUGUUAUUCCGUUUAAAUAACCAAGUCGUAAUUGCAAUGUUUAAAAUGGUUAAAGAGAUGAAUUUAACCUUACCAAUAAGAAAUUAAGAUUCAUUGUGAUAGGCACCAUAAGCACUUGAAGGCAGUUCCAGCUGUCGGCAAUAUACACAACAUGCAGGUGUUGCUUUUCUUCCACCCUCGAAAAUUUAGCUUAAUUAUAAUGAAUUAUAUGGUGAAUUGUAUUAUUACGUGAUAUAUCUCCGUAAAUAUUAAAAUAGUGGACUACGCUGAAAAACACCAUUUCAUCAUGAAAUGUAUUUAUUUAAUCAAAACAUCUGUUUUAAUCAUUUGCUAUUUCACACUAGAAUAUAUGACCAAAACUGGAUGUUCGUAUCGAAUUCUCAAAUUUACAUUUCUCAGCCGUGUGCAAUGGUAUAGUGUUCACACAUCUCAACUUACACAUUAUAUAUAUUCAUACAUCUUCACACCAUGCAGACUUUAUAAACAGGAAUGUUCUCUUUUCACGAAAGCUGUUAAACAAUGGUUAUUUUGUACAAGUGUUACGGUCACCGUCAAGAAUUGGUUUACUGAUACAAUGUUUAUGUGUAUCAACUCAUUAGCGACAUUUUGUUUUUGUUAAAUGUUUAGACAUCAGAAUAGUCGUCUAUUCUUUAAUGUUACCGAGUGUCUCCUAUUCCUAAUGUUGACAUUGGAAUAUGUGAUGAAACGAAUAGCGAGUGAUGCAUGCAUAGCAGGAGAUGCUUACCCUUUCAACGCAUCCGGUAUAGCUCAUUUACGAGGUUAUGCAAUUCUAUCAGAGGUUUUACCUUCAUUUGUAUCUUCGUUAUCGAUUUAUCAGGUUUGAACAUCGGUUAACCACUACUGUCUAAUUAAAGUCCUAUCAUAUUGUGCUGUUGCCCAAUAGUAUUACACAUAAAGUUAAUUAAACCCUUUACAAAUUAGGUAAAUCUCUGAAGCAAGGUAAAUCCUGGACUGUUUUCAGCUUUUACAGAGACUGCCGUGACAAAAGCAACCGUCUUUGAGAAUCGUCAAUGGCUAACGGAUUAUUCGAAAACUGAAUCUUAUCAUUUAGAAACUGAUUUUGAAUAGAAACGUGUCGAAGACUCGUAAAAGAAACUUAUUUUCGCGUUUAGAGCUUAAUAUAUAGCCAUUGUAGACAUUUAAUUGAAUUUAAAUGCAAUUGACGGAUUGUUGAUCAAAAGAGGAAAUUAUUUUCAAUAUACUUAGCACUAAAAAUCACAGAACUUCAUAAAUAUAAUGAAUGUACCGCACCUAAUUAGCGUAUUUACUUGACGAUAUCGGGAUAUGGGUAUUUAGUCGAAUCUUAAAAGGAAGUUGUGUUAAUAUUAAAAAACCGACACGGAUAAAAAUAAUAAACAAUGUAACAAUAUUAAUGUUCAGGCUUUACUUAAUCUGUAUUUUGGUAAGUUAAUGCAAGGAUACGAUCUGUUUUGUGUCUUACACUAUUAGAGGCAAAUAAUGAUUAACAACUAUAUUAUAUUAAUGUGUAAACAUUUUAAUUAUGAGCUAUGAAAGUCAAGUAGUUCGUGCAUUUUUCUGAGUAGGUCUAAAACAUUUCAAACAAAUAUACUUUACUGUGGGUUAGCAUUCGUUAGCUGUCACUAUCCUAUAGAUUAACAGCUGUUGGUUAUAUUGAUAAUUUAGAAUCUUCAUUGAAGGUGGAGCACGAAUGUUGUGUUAAUUAAUUCUGUUGAUGUGUCAUCUGUAUGCACGAGAGUGACAUCCUUUAGUACUAUGUUUCAAUUCCAAAAAGUCUAUUGAAUCGAUGAGUUUAUUGUCUCCUUUGAACAGGUUCAUAAUUUUAUAUUUACG
rnacentral:lncRNA from 1 species